GAUGACUGGAGGAGCAUGGCCACCGUAGUCUUGUGGAAUACGCGACAUGCUGGUCAUACUGGAAUGGGUACCAAUGAUCGCCCACGCCAAUUAAGAAAAAACGACACCAGCAGCGGUAUGGUUAUGAACCAUGGGCCGAGUCUUGCGCUGUGCCUUGGAUGGGGCUACAAACGCUACGGGACGGAACCUCCCCUUUCCACCCUUCUCUCUCUCUCUCUCUCUCUCUCUCUUUCUUUCUCACUUGCUUUACCUCGGGGAGCUUAUUUAUUGAUUUGGAGGCACUGGUGCUGUGGAUUUUGGGUGUCGUUGGGGUUUUUGUUCUGUCGGUUGAUCGCAACUGGUUGCAUGUUUUGUGAGGGUGGCGACGACGUUUUGACGAGGUGUUGUUUAACAUGCUUCGGAGGCAAGCAGUGGGAAAUUGAAAAGAAAAGCGUAGUGGAGAUGACAGCAGUGUUUGCAGUUCAGAGGAUGCUCGGGAGGAAGACGAAGAAAAUGACUUCAUCCAGGAGCAACAGCAGCUGCGGCGUCUCGGAUCAUUUGUGCAUGGAGGAGCUCCCUCAUCCAGCUCGGAAUCUCACCGUUUCCCGUGUUGUCAUCAUGGUCACAGUGGCAGUUUUGGUGGGAGCUCUGACAAUCAGUACCUGGUAUUUUACACAUAGUUAUCCGAAAACUGCAGUGGCUACCUUAUCAGAAUCACUGCGACUUGAAAUACUUCUCAACACAUCGGAGCUUUUCAAUGCGAUCUUAAAGACGAAUACGUACAGUGCGAAUGCUCUUCUCAACCUGAUGGAUAUGAAGUUCUUUGGCCACGAUUUUGGAGUCGAUUCUCUAGAGAAGAUACGGUUAAUUACAUGGUCCAUUUUUACAGCUAUGCCUACAAUCACAACCUUGGGUGUAUCUGCCUUGAAUGGACUGACAGCAGUAUACUCUCGAGAGGAGCAGCUUUUAGGAUACCGUGGUCACCUUUAUAUAUUCUCAAACACUACAUCUCAGGAUCCCACUUACUAUAGGCAGUUUGUUGAUGAUAAUACCGGUGAUCCGAUUGUACCUGCUAUCAUAGAGGAUUUGAAGCCUUUACACAGAAGGCAGUGGUAUCAGAGUGCAAUGGAAUUACCCUACAGAAACCUUUCCUGGCACAUUGAGCGCAGCACGAUAUACGGACAUGCUUUUCUGCAGUGUACCAUACCCGUGCAAUCUCAUUCCACUAACGAAUUUGCGGUUAUCCACUCCGGGCAUAGUGCUAGUGCAAUUAACAAAUUCCUUUCUUCUCUUGAUUUGAAAGGGGGAAAAGUUUUCAUAUCAGAUCAACUUGGCCGGCUGCUUUUCUCCUCGGAUGCUACAGCUUGUGUGCCGCGAAACAAAUCUCAGUGUGAAGUAACACCACUACAAGCGGAGUCUGUACUGAACGAAGCAAAGGCUUUCCUACAUAAUGAAGUUGGGUUGGAGACCUUGGUUAGGGUGCGAACAAGCUUUGCUGACGUUAAUUUCAGGGGCAAGCGAUAUUCUAUCGAUAGUUGGCCGUAUGAAUAUCAUACUCUUAAACUAGGGGUGGUGAUUAUGAUUCCCCGGCACAGUUUCUGGGGGGCCAUGGACUACUAUACAAGGAUAACUUGGAUCUCGUUGCCAUUGCUCUCAAUUGGGGUCGUUUUCAUUGGAUGCAGUCUUAUUUACUUGCUUGUUGAGCAAGUCCAAGCGGAGGAGAAGCUGAGAGCAGAGAUACAGAGACAGUCUGAGGCAAAACGCAGGGCGGAAGCCAGCCGAGAUGCCAAGACCAACUUCUUGUCAAGUAUGAGCCAUGAGUUGCGAACGCCAAUGGCCUGCAUAAUUGGACUUCUGGACAUGCUAUUAUCAGAGAAAUUACUGGAUGAAAUUGCUAGUAGUGUGCGGCAGAUUCAUCGGUGUGCCACUUCCCUUAUUGCUAUCUUGAAUUCUGCUCUUGAUAUUGCAAAGGUGGAAUCUGGAAAACUUGUGCUGGAGAAGGCAGAAUUUGACCUUGAGGCGGAGCUAACAGCGCUUAUUGAUGUCUUUUCCGUGCAGUGUGACAACAAGGGUCUCUUCAUCUCACUUCAACUUGCAGACAAUGUGCCGAAGAACGUGGUAGGUGACUCAGCUCGGGUCAUGCAAGUCUUCACAAAUUUGAUUGGGAACAGCAUAAAGUUCACAUCUAGUGGAAGGAUAUCUGUCUCUGCACGACUUGCAACAGUGGAAGAUGGUGUAAAUCCUAGUCGUGUGCAUCGGCGUAGCUUCAGUUCAUUCUCUCUUGAUAUGUUCACCGAGCUUCCAACAAGUGAUGAAGUGAUCAUUCUGUUUGAAGUUGAUGAUACUGGACCAGGCAUUGAACCAGCGUUGCGGGAGCGUGUGUUUGAGAAUUUUGUUCAGGGCGAUGCAAGCACAACUCGCAUGCAUGGAGGUACCGGUCUAGGAUUGGGGAUUGUCAAGUCCCUUGUCCAUAUAAUGGGAGGCAACAUCAGAAUCGUGGAAAAGGCAGGUCCAGGGUCUGUCUUCCAAUUCACAAUCUGCUUUCAGCGUUCCUUGAAACCUGAAAGGAUGCCCUAUAUACUACCAUCGUCUUUGCAAGGAGCUGAGGUAGUCUUAGGAAUUCCAAAUGCAGAUUGUCGCGCUGUUGCUGCUCAUUGGGUCAAAACCUGGGGUCUUAAAGCUCAUGAAGUUGGCAGUUGGGAAGAGAUUUUGAUUCACAUGAGAACUCUUAAUGGUAUUUCAGCAAACAAUAACGAUGGAUCCAAAGGUUUGACCCAGAGGCAUCAUACAGAUUCCGUACAGCCUCUAACAUUGGGAUUGGAUGGAAUUACGAAGAAUACCUCCAAAGCUUCAACCCAGAAGAGGUCCGGCCGGUAUGACUUCUGGAAAAGCUGGCAAUCUAUUGGUGCAAAGGCAUUAAGUGGACAACAACGACAAUUAUUGGUUAUUGACAUCAGCCUCUUACCGAGCAUUUUGGAGCACGAUUAUCUUGAGGAAUAUUUGCAACAGUCAGGUUUUUUGACGGGAAAUCACACUGUAUGGCUUGAUGCUCUCGGGCUUGAGAAACUCCAUCUGAAUGACCGGCAGAUGGGAGACAUUCAGCGAAAUCUUCUGGUUGUAUGGAUCACGGCAUCUAACACCCCUGAACCUGUGAAGGCAGCUUUACGGUCAGUUCGAAACUCCAUCGCUGUUCGGCGGCCACUACAUGCAACUCGGUUGAAGGAGCUCCUUCACCAGAUAGCAAGUGAAGUGGGAGAGUGCUUGCCAACCAUGGAUGCUGAAAGGCCUAGAGUACUUUCCUCAAAUGCCUUAGCAUACGCCAAGCAGCAAGAGUGGGAUGACCCAUAUAGAUGUGAUGCCGAGGUCUCACUUCCAAGUAUUGUUAAGUCGGAUGUGUCCCGGUCACUUCCAGUGGCAUCCUUCGACAAAUUUACUAAAACCAUACCUCCAGUAUCCCUCUUGUUAUCUACCACCGAAAAUCAGGACAAUAGUCGGCCCCCUAAGCCUUGCAAUCUUCGCCGAAGAUCUAAGAUGCAGCCUCAGAAAGGGUUACCUUCUGAGGGUGGCUCAAAGCUUUUUGACCGACUUGAAAUAUUGGUGGCUGAAGAUACACCUCUUCUGCGGAAGCUCGCUGUUGUCAUGUUGCAGAAGCUUGGGGCUAUCACACAUGAAGCGGGCAAUGGACAGGAGGUUUUGGAUGCAGUUUUGGAUCGUAUCCAUAAAAGCCAGCCACCUUUCAGCUGUAUUCUCAUGGAUUGUCAGAUGCCAAUUAUGAACGGUUAUGAAGCUUGCAAGGCAGUGCGGGAUAUUGAACAUGAGGGGCAGCAUAAAACGCCCAUUAUUGCCUUAACAGCUAAUGCUAUGGCUAGCGAUGAAAAGAAAUGUUUACAUGCUGGAAUGGAUGCUUUUUUGACCAAGCCUAUAAAUCGAGAUCAUAUGAUUAAGGUCAUCUUACAAGCAACGGAAUCUAAGGCUUCUCAUAGAGCUUCCUUGAACUCCAGCGUGGUUGAAGAACUCUCUACGAAGGUUUCACAAAAUGGACCGGUUGGCAGCAUGCACAAUAGAUGACUUGAGGUCGCUGUCAAUUGGCUUUCAAUCAUCUUCAGAGCAGAUGCAUGCGUGUGGGCUGUUUAUAUAAUGCCAGCUUUCUUGGUGUGGAUUCUCAAGUAGUAUGAAACAGAAGCUCGGGGUCCCAGGGCUGUACUGAAUACUACGACAUUUAAAUCCUUUUCUAGGCGCGGAAGAUGUUACAUCAGAUGGUUUUCCUAAAGCGUAGAACCAAAUUUCUUUCGGCGUUUGACGUCUUGAUAUUGUCCAAAUUCUCAUCAAGACCUUUAUGUGCUUUGUUCAUAAUUUUUUCUCUACCCGCAUUUUUUUUUUUUUUUUUUUUUUUUUUCGGAUUGUUUCGUUGAUCCGAAAAUAUAGAUAUCAUCAUAAGUAUGAAUCUCUUGGUUUUAUUCUUCCGAAGAUUUUUUUGGAGAUUCAAUUGUGUUUCAAACAUUAACAUUCCUUAAUGCAGCACAUGCUGAGUUCUUAAGCAACUGAUGGUUUUUCCUAAUGUGACAGGCAGAGAUCUUGGAUCCACUGAGCUAUGGCAUAGUGCCCAACAUCGAUGAUGCCUUCCUAUAGAGUUGUGCCCUGACGAUCUUGUCCCAGUAUUCUUUGUAGAGGAGAUAGGUCUGUACAUGUGCCAGGUUUGGAUGGUACUUUUUGAAGUAGCCUUAGUUUGUUGUUGGCCUUAAAACACAUCCUUGCAUUUUGAGUAGGUCUUCAACUGUUGAUCCGAGCAAAAAAUGUGGUAGUUCUAAGUAGGAUCUUGGAUGCAGUAUCUGCUAAGAACAGAGAAAAGGUCAAUACUAAAAAUUACCACACAA